rnacentral:rRNA from 1 species
GACGAACGCUGGCGGCGCGCUUAACACAUGCAAGUCGAACGGAAAGGCCUGCUUUCCCUUGUGGAUUGCGGGUACUCGAGUGGCGAACGGGUGAGUAACACGUGAGUGAUCUGCCCCCAACUUGGGUAUAAGCUUGGGAAACUGGGUCUAAUUCCCGAUAGAACUGCAGGGUGGUGCCUGUGGUGGAAAACGAUUUUCUAGUGGUUGGGGAUGAGCUCGCGGCCUAUCAGCUUGUUGGUGGGGUAAUGGCCUACCAAGGCGGCGACGGGUAGCCGGCCUGAGAGGGUGGACGGCCACAUUGGGACUGAGAUACGGCCCAGACUCCUACGGGAGGCAGCAGUGGGGAAUAUUGCACAAUGGGCGGAAGCCUGAUGCAGCGACGCCGCGUGGGGGAUGACGGCCUUCGGGUUGUAAACUCCUUUCGACCGCGAGGAAGCCACCUGGUUGGAAGGGUGGUGACGGUAGUGGUAGAAGAAGCACCGGCUAACUACGUG